rnacentral:rRNA from 1 species
AUUGAACGCUGGCGGAAUGCUUUACACAUGCAAGUCGAACGGUAGAGGGGGCAACCCCUCGAGAGUGGCGAACGGGUGAGUAAUAUAUCGGAACGUGCCCAGUCGUGGGGGAUAACGUAGCGAAAGUUACGCUAAUACCGCAUACGAUCUAAGGAUGAAAGCGGGGGAUCGCAAGACCUCGCGCGAGUGGAGAGGCCGAUGGCAGAUUAGGAAGUUGGUAGGGUAAAGGGCUACCAAGCCGACGAUCUGUAGCUGGUCUGAGAGGAUGAUCAGCCACACUGGGACUGAGACACGGCCCAGACUCCUACGGGAGGCAGCAGUGGGGAAUUUUGGACAAUGGAAGCAAGUCUGAUCCAGCCAUUCCGCGUGCAGGAUGAAGGCCCUCGGGUUGUAAACUGCUUUUGUUCAGAACGAAAAGGUUUGGGCUAAGAAGCUGCGCUCAUGACAGUACCGUAAGAAUAAGCACCGGCUAAAUACGGGCCAGCAGCCGCGGUAA